CUCUGCUUCUGUGGCCAUAUCUCUGUCUCUGAAUAACUCUCUGCCUCCCUCUUCCACUCCUAAGGACGCAUGUGAUUAUAUUGGGCUCACCCAGAUGAUCCAAAAUCAUCCGUCCACCUCAGGGUCCUUAGCCUUACUAGCAUCUGCAAAGUCCCUUUUGACAUGCAACAUAUUCGCAGGUUCUAGGGAUUCGGAUGUGGACAUUUAGGGGGACGUUAUUCUGCCUGCCAUACAAGAAUAACAGAGGGCACCCAUCUCCUGUUUUAAGAAGUCUUCCAUGAGGAGGCACCACUCAUUCCCAAAAUGGAAAUCAAGCUAGCUGCCUCACCCUGCCCACAAUGCACAGAGCCACACACACUUGCAGCGGCUAGUGAAGAAAUCACGAAGGAAACAGUAAGGAUUGUGAAGUAAGAUUUCUUCAAAACUGGCUGGGUGUGGUGGCUCACGCCUGUAAUCCCAGCACUUUGGGAGGCCGAGGAGGUGGAUCACCUGAGGUCAUGAGUUCGAGACCAGACUGGCCAACAUGGCGAAACCCCCUCUCUACUAAAAAUACAAAAAUUAGCUGGGCGUGGUGGCGGGCACCUGUAAUCCCAGCUACCUGGGAGGCUGAGUCAGGAGAAUCGCUUGAACCUGGGAGGCGGAGGUUGCAGUGAGCCGAGAUUGUGCCAUUGCACUCCAGGCUGGGCAACAGGAGCGAGACUCCAUCUCAAAAAAAAAAAAAGAUUUCUUCAAAACUGAUGCCAAAAAGACGAUGUCUCCUUUAUCUUCUUCUGAGGAAGGGAGAGGUGGCAAUUUCUCUGGCUGUGCUCACAUUAUUUCUCUGUGGUACCCCAGGAGCUGGGGCUUUCCUAACCUGGAAGAUAAAUCGGGGAGAUCUGUUCCCAGAGAAAGCGGCAGCUGUCCCCCCGCUGACAGGCUCUAUUUUUGCUUCGUUUCACUUCCUCCCUAACGUGUGCUGGGAUGACAUGGAUCAGCUGCUUUGGAAUUCCCAAGCCUUCGAGUGCCUGCUCCCGUCACACUCACCCGAUUCCUCAUUCAGGGGAGGGGGGAUGGGAGCCACAGGAACCAAGGUGUGAAUCCUCAUGCUGUGGUCACAACCGUGUGGCCUUGGGCACAUCCCUUAAGCUCAUUGAAAGUGUUUCCUCAUCUGUUCAAUAAAACAAAGAAUAAGCCGGGCACAGCGGCUCAUGCCUGUAAUCCUAGCACUUUGGAAGGUGGAGGCGGGCAGAUCACUUGAACCCAGGAGUUUGAGACCAGCCUGGACAACAUGGUGAAACCAUAUCUCUACAAAAAAUACAAAAAUUAGCUGGCAGUGGUGGCGCACCUGUAGUCCCAGCUACUCAGGAGGCUGAGGUAAGAGGAUUCCUUGAGUCCAGGAAGUCAGUGGAGGUUGCAGUGAGCCAACAGCCUAGGUGACAAAGUAAGACCCUGUCUCAAAAAAUAAUAAUAAUAGGCCGGGUGUGGUGGCUCACACCUGUGAUCCCAGCACUUUGGGAGGCCAAGGCAAGUGGAUCACCUAAGGUCAGAAGUUCGAGACCGGCCUAACUAACAUGUUGAAACUCCAUCGCUACCAAAAAUACAAAAAUUAGCUGAGUGUGGUGGCGGGCACCUGUAAUCUCAGCUACUCGGGAGGCUGAGGCAGGAGAAUCACUUGAACCCAGAAGGCGGAGGUUGCAGUGAGCUGAGAUUGUGAUUGUGCCACUGCACUCCAACCUGGGCGACAAGAGUGAAACUCCAUCUGAAAUAAUAAUAAUAAUAAUAAUAAUAAUAAUAUAAUAACAAUAAUAUUAAUAAUAAUAUUAUUAUUAUUAUCUCAGAAAAACAAAUGAUAAUAAUAAUAAUAAGGAAUAGAAACAUGUGUCCACUGGAGUUCAUCUGCGGACAAGACUGAAUGUAUAGAGAGUGCUCCGGCACACAGUGGGCUCACAACACAAGCAGAUAGUCAAAGUCACCCUCAACAGCACAGCGCUGCUAUUAUGGUGGUUACUCCCACGAGUCAGACUCGGGAGAUGCAAACCGAACCCAGUCCAGUUCCCUAAUGUUAUUAAGGGCUUGAUUUCCUUCUGCACUUUGCCAGACACAAUGUGGGUCUCCACAAGGAGGAGGCAAGCAGCCAGUAUAGAACCAGCCUUCUACCAGCAGGCACCUUCAUGGGCAUGAUGCAGCAGAGCCCUGCUUGAGCUCUGCAAGGUACAUUGCUUAGAGCCAUUCUUCAGGAAUACUGACAUUCGGGUUCUGCCAGCCUCCAGCAACCCAUGCGUGUCCGGCACAGUGCUUGGGAACUCAACAUCGCUUAAGAAAUGACUGGAAAGCUGAGCGCAGUGGCUCACGCCUGUAAUCCCAGCACGUUGGGAGGCUGAGGCGUGUGGAUCACGAGGUCAGGAGUUCAAGACCAGCCUGGCCAGCAUGGCAAAACCCCGUCUCUACUAAAGUACAAAAAAUUAGCCAGUCAUGGUGGUGCACGCCUAUAGUCGCAGCUACUCGGGAGGCUAAGGCAGGAUAAUUGCUUGAACCCAGCAGGCGGAAGUUGCAAUGAGCAGUGAUCAUGCCACUGCACUCCAGCCUGGGAGACAGAGUGAGACUCCAUCUCGGAAAAAAAAAAAAAAAAAAAAGGGCCGGGGGCGAUGGCUCAUGCCUAUAAUCCCAGCACUUUGGGAGACCGAGACAGGCGGAUC
rnacentral:lncRNA from 10 species